GUGCAAAAAUCCAAAAGGUAAUAAAGCAGUUUCGGUGUAUCGACCAUGCCCCUCCAGUCUCACUGCUCAAUUCUCUGUCAUUUUGGAGUUAAAUCACUUGCACUGCCUUCCUUAACACUUCCUGUAAAGUGAGAUCUAAUGUUUAAACUUCCUUUAUUGCACAGUCUGUUUAAUUUAGAAUGUCUUAUCUCAUGCACAGUUAAUAGAUUCCUAGAUCUUGUAGGAGCCUCCUGUGUGAUUAAAGUUCAAUUUACAGAGCAGGAGAUAAAAACUUUCAAAUGAGUAACGUGGUUGAAAGUGAAACCAUUUUUUCAUGCAGGCUGUGUGAGUUACAGCCAAGGUAGGUAUGGCUAGGGAUGCAGAAAAAAAAAAAAAAGUGAUUUAACUCCUAAAUGGCAGUGAAUUUGAUAGUGAGAUUGCAGGGGCAUGGUUUAUACACCAAAACUAUUUUUAAGCUCCCAAAAUAAAACACAAAACAAAAAAUUAAGAUGGCAAAAAUGUGUGUUUUCCUGGCAUAAUUUUAUUAGUCUGGCAGAUAGUGAAGCAUGAUUCACCACUUCGAAGACCUUACUCGUAAUGUCCUACAGUCAAAAGGCAGUACGCUAUAUAUGCCCUUUCAGUCAAUGUUUGGUAGAUAAACUUGUGUGUAAUAGCUUGGCAAUAGAAAUUAAUUUCAUGACGUGAACAGUUAGUGUGCCUCUGUUCUCUCUAGUGGUAGUGAAAGUUACAACAGGUAACAGAUGAGCAUGCAAAAGCUUUGAGUGGUCUUGGUCUGUGAGCCUAUAUGGCUUACCACUUUAAUGGUGAGCUGUUGCUUAAAAAUAUUUCCACUGCCCCCGUGACUUUUAUACACUUGCUGUUGACCAGGGCAGUGAAGAAGCAGUGAAGAAGCGAGGUGUAGUGGUAAUGUAAGAAAUGCACCGUGUAACAUGGAAAUGUGAUUGAACUCUUCUUUGUAUAAAUGACAUUGUGCUUGCUUACCCCAUCCAAGUUUGUCCCAAU